ACGGGUGAGUAAUGCCUAGGAAUCUGCCUGGUAGUGGGGGACAACGUUUCGAAAGGAACGCUAGUACCGCAUACGUCCUACGGGAGAAAGCAGGGGACCUUCGGGCCUUGCGCUAUCAGAUGAGCCUAGGUCGGAUUAGCUAGUUGGUGAGGUAAUGGCUCACCAAGGCGACGAUCCGUAACUGGUCUGAGAGGAUGAUCAGUCACACUGGAACUGAGACACGGUCCAGACUCCUACGGGAGGCAGCAGUGGGGAAUAUUGGACAAUGGGCGAAAGCCUGAUCCAGCCAUGCCGCGUGUGUGAAGAAGGUCUUCGGAUUGUAAAGCACUUUAAGUUGGGAGGAAGGGUUGUAGAUUAAUACUCUGCAAUUUUGACGUUACCGACAGAAUAAGCACCGGCUAACUCUGUGCCAGCAGCCGCGGUAAUACAGAGGGUGCAAGCGUUAAUCGGAAUUACUGGGCGUAAAGCGCGCGUAGGUGGUUCGUUAAGUUGGAUGUGAAAUCCCCGGGCUCAACCUGGGAACUGCAUUCAAAACUGUCGAGCUAGAGUAUGGUAGAGGGUGGUGGAAUUUCCUGUGUAGCGGU
rnacentral:rRNA from 1 species